rnacentral:misc_RNA from 1 species
UCCUCAUUUAAAUGAGGCAGUCCGUCCAGAGUGCUCCAGCCUCUCGGCCGGGUGGCAACAGGACGCAAGGGUUGCGCUCGUUGCGGGACUUAACCCAACAUCUCACGACACGAGCUGACGACAGCCAUGCAGCACCUGUGUACGCUGGUAUUGCUACCUCGUCAGGCUUUCACCCUUCUACUACGUACAUGUCAAGGCCAGGUAAGGUUCUUCGCGUUGCAUCGAAUUAAGCCACAUACUCCACCGCUUGUGCAGGCCCCCGUCAAUUCCUUUGAGUUUCAGUCUUGCGACCGUACUCCCCAGGCGGAAUGCUUAAAGCGUUAGCGACGGCACCCGGGGACUGCCGGUGAUAAGCCGGAGGAAGGUGGGGAUGACGUGUAACCGAAUCU